GGGGGCUCAUAGAGAUAAGCAAGAACAAAGAAUGUCUGGCACACAAGUUUCCUUCUGUUUCCCAGGCUGGAAUGCAGUGGCACAAUCUCGGCUCACUGAAACCUCUGCCUCCCAAGUUCAAGUGAUUCUCCUGCCUUGGACUCUUCAUAGCUGGGAUUAAAGCAGACAUUGAGGAACCAUUUGCAUAAUGGCAUCUGCUUCAGAUUUACACCCGGU
rnacentral:lncRNA from 13 species